UAAAGGUUCAAGCUUCAAAAUUUUAGAACUGAUUAAGGGCUAGAUCUAGGGUAGAUCUAAUAAAAUGAUUCGAUAUGUAACUAUAUAUAUAGGGGAUAACGGUUGUACACAGUCGUGUACUUUUUUUUUACACAGUAUACCAAAUGGCGUCGUUUGGCCCAAUUGCUUUAAAAAGAAAAAACACGGUUUAGGCAUUCUACUCCCAAAAUCCCGUUCCAUUCUUCCCUUCAGAUAACCUCCUCCAUUCUCUCUGAUUCUCUACUCCAACGUCAGCCACCUCAUCCAUUCUCUCUGAUUCUCUCUCCUAGGGUUUAUGCGUGAUUGCUUCAAUUAGUUCAUUUUCACCCAAGCUUUGUUUCAAUUACAACUGCA
rnacentral:lncRNA from 1 species